GGGAUGAGAUGGCUCACUCAACCCUGAUUACCACUAGAACACUCAAGCUUUCCACUUUGAUAAACGAUCAGGCAUUGUAUGAUGCUGGAAUCAGUCUAUAUUCUCCUUGGGGUAAGAUCGGACUAUUUUGUUUUUUACUUUUUUUCUUUGUCUUCAACAUUCUAAAACAUAUAUCUGAUACAGAGAUGAGGUUCAAUCCAGCAAAGAUGGAG
rnacentral:lncRNA from 1 species